rnacentral:rRNA from 1 species
GGAUAAGUGGCGACCGGGUGGGUACCACGUGAGUAACCUAGCCUACCUUCUUUCGGGAUAACGGUCGCGAAACGGCUGCUAAUACUGGAUAUUCACUCAUUGGCGCAUGUAUGGUGGGUGGAAAGGUUUUUCUGUGGGGGAUGGGCUCGCGGCCUAUCAGCUUGUUGUGGGGUGAUGGCCUACCAAGGCUUUGACGGGUAACCGGCCUGAGAGGGUGACCGGUCACAUUGGGACUGAGAUACGGCCCAGACUCCUACGGGAGGCAGCAGUGGGGAAUUUUGCACAAUGGGCGCAAGCCUGAUGCAGCGACGCCGCGUGAGGGAUGAAGGCCUUCGGGUUGUAAACCUUUUUCGCUCAUGGUCAAGCCGCAGCUUUGGGUUGUGGUGAGGGUAGUGGGUAAAGAAGCGCCGGCUAACUACGUGCCAGCAGCCGCGGUAAUACGUAGGGUGCGAGCGUUGUCCGGAAUUAUUGGGCGUAAAGGGCUUGUAGGCGGUUGGCCGCGUCUGCCGUGAAAUCCUCUGGCUUAACUGGGGGCGUCGGUGGGUACGGGUUGACUUGAGUGCGGUAGGGGAGACUGGAAUUCCUGGUGUAGCGGUGGAAUGCGCAGAUAUCAGGAGGAACACCGGUGGCGAAGGCGGGUCUCUGGGCCGUUACUGACGCUGAGGAGCGAAAGCGUGGGGAGCGAACAGGAUUAGAUACCCUGGUAGUCCACGCUGUAAACGUUGGGCACUAGGUGUGGGGGCCACCCGUGGUUUCUGCGCCGUAGCUAACGCUUUAAGUGCCCCGCCUGGGGAGUACGGUCGCAAGGCUA